ACAUUCUAGAUAAGGAAGGUAAAAAGUUUUUAUACAAUCUCAUUCUGUCUAUUGUUCUAUUAUAAUAUAUAUAUCUAAUAUAAUAUAGUAUUUUAUGAGUUUGGUGUACCUCAGUUUUCCAUUUCUUCCUGACUGUUUGGAAGAUCUCAUAAAGUGCCUCCAUUUCUUUCAUUGCAUUCUUAGGACAGGUGUGCUGACCAAUGAGGACAAAGUUCUUCACCACUGUAAAUAUUCUGUGGAAAGUUUGUGACGUACAGGUUGUGGGAGAAUGGAUCCAUAUGAUGAACGGCUCUCUGGAGAACACGGUCUCAUUGAACUCUGGGUGCUGGUAUUGCUCUUGCACCUGUAGCAUGUCUUUUCUGUGAACACAGCAUGUGCUGGAUGAAUUCAUCAUCGCAAUAUUCAGGUCUAAAGCAGACUCCAUGUUGGCCUGAAGCCAUCUGAAUGAGGUAGUCUUCCAUUCGCUCUUCCAGAACAGAGUAAAACUGGCGGAGCUGCUCUCUAGCAGGUGGAUGAUACAACCACAGGGCCGCCACCACCAC